UACGUAGGGGGCGAGCGUUGUCCGGAUUUAUUGGGCGUAAAGAGCGUGUAGGCGCCAGGUAGGUCUGCUGUGAAAACUCGAGGCUCAACCUCGAGACGUCGGCGGAAACCAUCUGGCUAGAGUCCGGAAGAGGAGAGUGGAAUUCCCGGUGUAGCGGUGAAAUGCGCAGAUAUCGGGAAGAACACCCGUGGCGAAGGCGGUUCUCUGGGACGGUACUGACGCUGAGACGCGAAAGCGUGGGGAGCGAACAGG
rnacentral:rRNA from 1 species